rnacentral:rRNA from 1 species
AUACGGAGGGUGCGAGCGUUAAUCGGAAUCACUGGGCUUAAAGGGUACGUAGGCGGCCUAUCAAGUCAGGUGUGAAAUCCCACGGCUCAACCGUGGAACUGCGCUUGAAACUGAUAGGCUUGAGGAAGACAGGGGUGUGUGGAACUUCUCGUGGAGCGGUGAAAUGUGUUGAUAUGAGAAGGAACACCGGUGGCGAAGGCGACACACUGGGUCUUUUCUGACGCUGAGGUACGAAAGCCAGGGGAGCGAACGGGAUUAGAUACCCUAGUAGUCC